AUUGAACGCUGGCGGCAUGCCUUACACAUGCAAGUCGAACGGCAGCGCGGACUUCGGUCUGGCGGCGAGUGGCGAACGGGUGAGUAAUACAUCGGAACGUACCCUGUUGUGGGGGAUAGCUAGUCGAAAGAUUAGCUAAUACCGCAUACGACCUGAGGGUGAAAGUGGGGGACCGGAAACGGCCUCAUGCAGCAGGAGCGGCCGAUGUCUGAUUAGCUAGUUGGUGGGGUAAAGGCCCACCAAGGCGACGAUCAGUAGCUGGUCUGAGAGGACGAUCAGCCACACUGGGACUGAGACACGGCCCAGACUCCUACGGGAGGCAGCAGUGGGGAAUUUUGGACAAUGGGGGCAACCCUGGUCCAGCAAUGCCGCGUGUGUGAAGAAGGCCUUCGGGUUGUAAAGCACUUUUGUCCGGAAAGAAAUCGCGCUGGUUAAUACCUGGCGUGGAUGACGGUACCGGAAGAAUAAGCACCGGCUAACUACGUG
rnacentral:rRNA from 1 species